rnacentral:rRNA from 1 species
UACGAAGGGGGCUAGCGUUGUUCGGAAUUACUGGGCGUAAAGCGCACGCAGGCGGAUUGAUAAGUCGGGGGUGAAAUCCCGGGGCUCAACCUCGGAAUUGCCUUCGAUACUGUUAGUCUUGAGUCCGGGAGAGGUGAGUGGAAUUCCUAGUGUAGAGGUGAAAUUCGUAGAUAUUAGGAAGAACACCAGUGGCGAGGGCGGCUCACUGGCCCGGUACUGACGCUCAUGUGCGAAAGCGUGGGGAGCAAACAGG